GUAUAAGACUGCGGGAAUUACAGAUAACCUAAACGUCCUAAACCUAAACUGGGGCCGUGUUCCAAAAUUCACUGCCAGCGUUGAAACUCUAUAGUUUAUGUCACGUACACUAUAGCUUUUCAGCGCUGGCAGUGAAUUUUGGAACAUGGCUUGUGUAUAACCUAAGCGUGUGCGUGCGUGUUCGUGCGUGCGUGUGAGACUGCGGGAAUUACAAUUCUUCUCGGACUAUCUAAAAUUCCAGUAACAUGCGGGGAUCUUGCUGUUAAUUUUAUUUUUUGUUACUUGGUGAUUAUUAAUGUCGCACACUUCCGUCAAUAUGCAACAUUUUCACCGUUCUAUUGUCAGAUCUGCUCUAAUGUUGUCGUCAAUUUGAUUGUGGAAUAUGUUCGUCAGAUUUGGUUCACAGUGGAGACCAACUGAGGACACAGUAGGCUCUGGCUUUGGCAUUAUAGUUCCGCUGAUAUUUGUUUCUCAUUUGGCAACAUCCCACAAUCAAAAUGUUUGCUGGCCACUUUUGUUGUCCAUUGGUGACGCAGCCACAAUGCAUCAGUAAAGAAAUGUCCAUCGGCAGCGUAAACAUAGACGGUCAAAAUUAUUGAGCACGUCUACAAAGAUUUUGUUUGAAGAUUUGGGAACCGAAGAAACACGCGGAGAAAACUCAAAAUCCAGAGCACGUGAUACCAGUUAACAAACUUAGGAACGUUAGUUAAAUUAUCGAAAUCUUCCAGUAAAGAACUUCUGACUUCUGAUAAACAAUUCUAAUAAUGGCACGGAUGUCAUUAUGGAAUAGGUUUGAAUCGAAGGAGGAAGCUCAAAAAUGGUUAAAGCUCUUUUUGGCACAAAUUAACGAUCAUUCGAGGUGGAAACAUGCCACAGAAGUUAUUAAAAGAGUAUCUAACAUUAAAAGUACAAGAAACUUUUAUUAUUAAUAAAAGACAAAUUCUUUAUAUGAUGAGACCUUUUUAAUAGAAUCGAUCCCGUCGAAUUAUACAUUCGCAAAGGUCUACUGUACAUACAAACGAUUUUUUAUCUUACAUCUGGUACUAUUUUAAACAGUUGUAGUUCCAUGAAUAGUCCAACAAGCUUGCGUUUAUGUUCACUGAACAUCAGCGGUGUGUUUAAACAAAGUGGUAUUACUCUAAAGCCUUAUUUAACUUCCUCUAAUAUUAAAAAUAACGUGUCAUAGUGUCGUUACAAUUUUUUUGAGAAAACCGUAAGUGCUGAAUUAUUGUAUCAUCAUAUCGCUAAAAUAGGCUCCUAUCGUAUGUGAAUCUUAUUACGUCUCUUUAGUGCAAUUUCUAUUUUAAUAAGAUAAAAUAAGAGUAAAACAAACACGGACAAAAUGUAUGGUACGAAUUUACUCGGAUAGUGUAAAGCGUGUAAAAAACAUUGCGAAAGUAUUCGAAAGACGUUAUAGAUUGUUUGAGCUAUCUUUUAAAGUCUUCCAAAUUGUUGUGUUUCUAAAUAUACACGGCUUGUUGAGAAACUGUGCUUCGUGUGUUAGAGAGUGUGCUAUUUUUCACAAUUUCAUACAAAAACGAAAAUUCGCAUUAAGGCGACUGUCAGAUAAUAAAGAAAUCUACAUAUAUGUAUGUAUGUAGCAAAUAAAGUUUUUUUAUAUAA